rnacentral:rRNA from 1 species
GAUGAACGCUGGCGGCGUGCCUAAUACAUGCAAGUCGAGCGAACAGACGAGGAGCUUGCUCCUCUGACGUUAGCGGUGGACGGGUGAGUAACACGUGGAUAACCUACCUAUAAUACUGGGAUAACUUCGUGAAACCGGAGCUAAUACCGGAUAACAUGUUCAACCGCAUGGUUCAACAGUGAAAGACGGUCUUGCUGUCACUUAUAGAUGGAUCCGCGCCGCAUUAGCUAGUUGGUAAGGUAACGGCUUACCAAGGCAACGAUGCGUAGCCGACCUGAGAGGGUGAUCAGCCACACUGGAACUGAGACACGGUCCAGACUCCUACGGGAGGCAGCAGUAGGGAAUCUUCCGCAAUGGGCGCAAGCCUGACGGAGCAAUGCCGCGUGAGUGAAGAAGGUCUUCGGAUCGUAAAGCUCUGUUAUUAGGGAAGAACAAAUGUGUAAGUAACUAUGCACGUCUUGACGGUACCUAAUCAGAAAGCCACGGCUAACUACGUG